AUGGAUCCAAUUACCAUUGCUGCCGUAGGAUGGAGCGUGGCCAUGGUUGGUUGGGUCGCCUCGGCCACCAUCUCUAAGCUCCUCGCCAAAGGCUUCGAUUACCUCGAAUAUGACACAGCAAAGAAGCUGGCGCAACUUGAGCCAAAAAUCUUGGUGCUGGAACGGGUCAUGGAAGUUGUCGAGACGAGCCCAUACAGGCCUCGUCUAGAGCAGCUGUUCAAGCGGCUUAAAUAUGCUUUCUAUGAAGCCGAAGAAAUCUUGGAUGCUGUCGAGUAUCACUGUCUAGAGAAGCAGAUCAAAACAGGAAAACUACAGCCGGGCGGUGGCUCGUCUCUACCUAAAAAGGAUCGUCUGAAAAAGAAGGAGAGUCGUAUGUCAAAUAAGAAGUUGGUAAAGAGCCUAAAGAAGAUAGAAAACAUUAUAAAUGAAGCACACCAGAUUUUGGAGAAGCUUAACUUGUCAAGCAUAAGUGAUGGCAAUAUACGACACACAAUGGUUGUCAAUCCUACGACUACCGCAGUUUCCCCGCAAAAAGUUUUUGGUCGAGAUAAUGAUCGCGACAAGAUCAUAGCAAUGCUUCAUGAAAAGGAAGGUGGUCUUGAUCCAAGCACUAGCAAAGGUCUAUGUUUUUCUGUAAUUGGCAUACAUGGAGUCAGCGGGUCUGGGAAAUCUACCCUUGCACAGUUUGUUUAUGCCCACGAGAAAAAUGACAAGCAAGACAACAAGGAAGACCAUUUCGACCUUGUUAUGUGGGUUCAUGUCUCUCAGGAUUUUAGUGUGUGGGGCAUCUUCAAGGAGUUGUAUGAGGCAGCUUCAGAUCCUAAGGUUCCAUGCCCUCAAUUUAAUAACUUGAAUGCCUUGGAAGAAGAACUGGAGAGGAAACUAGAUGGAAAGCGAUUCCUUCUGGUACUGGAUGAUGUCUGGUGCAAUGCGGAUGUUGGUAACCAGGAGCUACCAAAGUUACUUUCUCCACUGAAGAAAGGAAAGAAAGGAAGCAAGAUCCUAGUGACAACUCGAAGUAAAUAUGCACUACCGGAUCUAUGUCCUGGUGUGAGAUAUACUGCCAUGCCGAUAACUGAGGUUGAUGAUACCGCCUUCUUUGAGUUGUUCAUGCAUUAUGCCCUCGAAGAUGGCCAAGAUCAAAGCAUGUUCCAGAACAUUGGGGUUGAGAUUGCAAAAAAGCUGAAGGGGUCACCUUUAGCAGCUAGAACAGUGGGUGGAAAUUUACGUCGACAGCAAGAUGUUGACCAUUGGAGAAGAGUCGGAGAUCAAGACCUUUUCAAGGUAUGGACGGGACCUCUGUGGUGGAGCUACUAUCAGCUUGGUGAGCAGGCUAGGCGUUGCUUUGCUUACUGCAGUAUUUUUCCUAGGAGACAUCGCUUGUACCGUGAUGAAUUAGUUAGACUCUGGAUGGCAGAAGGGUUCAUAAGAAACACAGAUGAAGGGGCGGAUGCUGAAGACGUUGGUCUGGGAAUAUUUAAUGAACUAUUGUCGAUAUCAUUUCUUCAACCAGGAGGCCAGGACUGGUACAAUCAUGGCAAGGAAUACUAUUUAGUUCAUGAUUUGCUGUAUGAUUUAGCAGGGGCAGUAGCUGGAACUGACUGCUUCAGAAUUGACAAUAACAUGAUCCAGAAAAAGAUGUUCCCAGAGACGUUCGCCAUCUUUUUGUUCAGAGUUAUGAUGCAGCAUUGA
rnacentral:rRNA from 1 species